rnacentral:rRNA from 1 species
UCGAGGAUCUUUAGCAAUGGGCGAAAGCCUGACUAUGCGACGCCGCGUGAGGGAUGAAGGUUUUCGGAUCGUAAACCUCUUUCGAUGGGAAAGAAGCUCAACAUAUAAAUAGUAUGUUGGGUUGACGGUACCCAGAGAAGAAGCCACGGCCAACUCCGUGCCAGCAGCCGCGGUAAUACGGGGGUGGCAAGCGUUACUCGGAUUUAUUGGGUGUAAAGGGCAGGUAGGCGUUCUACCAAGUUAGAAGUGAAAUCCUGUGGCUCAACCACAGAACUGCUUCUAAAACUGGCAGAAUUGAGGCUAGAAGAGGAGAGCGGAAUUCCCGGUGUAAGGGUGAAAUCUGUAGAUAUCGGGAGGAACACCAGUGGCGAAAGCGGCUCUCUAGUCUAGAUCUGACGCUAAGCUGCGAAAGCUAGGGGAGCAAACAGG